UACGAAGGGGGCUAGCGUUGUUCGGAAUUACUGGGCGUAAAGCGCACGUAGGCGGACUGUUAAGUCAGGGGUGAAAUCCUGGAGCUCAACUCCAGAACUGCCUUUGAUACUGAUGGUCUCGAGUCCGGAAGAGGUGAGUGGAAUUCCGAGUGUAGAGGUGAAAUUCGUAGAUAUUCGGAGGAACACCAGUGGCGAAGGCGGCUCACUGGUCCGGUACUGACGCUGAGGUGCGAAAGCCAGGGGAGCGAACGGG
rnacentral:rRNA from 1 species